UACGUAGGGUGCGAGCGUUAAUCGGAAUUACUGGGCGUAAAGGGCGCGUAGGCGGCCUGUUAAGUCGAACGUGAAAUCCCCAGGCUUAACCUGGGAACUGCAUCCGAUACUGGAUGGCUUGAAUCCGGGAGAGGGAUGCGGAAUUCCAGGUGUAGCGGUGAAAUGCGUAGAUAUCUGGAGGAACACCGGUGGCGAAGGCGGCAUCCUGGACCGGCAUUGACGCUGAGGAGCGAAAGCCAGGGGAGCAAACGGG
rnacentral:rRNA from 1 species